AAAGCGCGGCUGGAGAGUGUCUGUGUUUACACCGCUGUCACGGCAGCCCUGGACUGCCAGCAGGAGAGGGUUUCUCAGGAGCUGGCAACAAAACUUGGCUCAGCAGCCUCUGAGGACAUCGUGGCAGCGGUGAAGAGACCGAAGAGGACGUUAAUGGAGGAAGCUAUUAAGAGAAAAAGAGACCUCGACUGGGCAAGAGACAAGAGUCUGGACUUGUUAACAGUACCUACUGGUGAAUAGUUUUUCUCUGCUCCGGUAAUUAACAUUGCUUCCACGGAUGAAAGCUCUGUGACAGCAACAUCUAUGAACCUGAUCCACAUAAUUGAUAACAUCUUAAUGCACGACCUUUUGCAUUUCAAAGGUCACAGCUAAUUGCCACACAUAAGCUGUUCACGCCAUCCCCCCCCGAAAAACAAAAGGCAAGAAGGAGAGAAGAUGAGAUUCAGCUUCGUCCUGCGUCCAUAUUCACAUGUAUAAGGCAGAGCUUCAAAAAGCAAACCAGCAGCCUCACAAAAGAGAGCAACAUGUCUGCAACAUCCCGCACAACUGGAGAGUUAGCGUUAGCUGCAACAGCCACCGCGAUGAAACAGGUGAAGACAGCAUGGUGCCACCUUCAAAAAUGUGGCAGCAUAACUUCAGAGAAAAAGGUUCUUUCUAUUCAUUUUAGUGCUAUAACGUGAUAGUGACAGAAAUAAACUUGCAGAUUACCCUGUACUAAGAGUCAUGCUUAACUGAUUUUUUGAUCAAUUCAUACACUUUUGAAUGACAGUGAUUUCCUCAUACAACCAAAGACCAUCUUUUUGAUACUGAUACAAAAAAAAAAUGUAUCCCAUGUAUCUCCCAUGUAUCUCCCAUGUUACUGA